GCCUGCAGUGAGGAAGGAGUCAUGUGCAAUUCUGAAGACAACAUCUCCGGGGUGGCAAUACGAAAGAGAGGGUGCCACCCACGGCUCGGUGUCUCUGCCCUGGGUCUAGGGUCUGAGUUCCGGAGUGAUGGAGGGGGCCAAGCGUCUGUGAAACUUGGGGGGUGGUCUGGGUCACGACUGGGGACGAGGAGGGUCUGGAGGU
rnacentral:lncRNA from 1 species